GGAUCUGAACUCACUGCAGGACAUGGUGCUGCUGGGAGAUGCUUAUUGGAAGGGAAAUAGGUCAAGUAAUAAAGCAAAGAAUCCACCCAGUAUGUGACCAGGAGAUGUGUCCCUUCUGCAUCACUGGGACAAUCCCAGGCACCUCUGCAUCAGCUCCCAUGCUGAGCCUGCAUCCCAGGUCCAAAGAUGCUGCAAAGGCAAUAACCCUGAAAUGUCACAGCUGUGGAGUCGUACAGCGCGGAUAUGAUGCUGUGGUUAAAUAAUCGCUCAACAUCUAAAUAUAAAGUGUAAGAUGACAGAAUCUGCAAGAACAAGAACACUGCAGGGUGCAGUAACGGAGGGGUUCCCAUCCCUGCUCAACCUGGGGAAUUUUGCAUGGCCUGAGAUGGUUAAAUCAAUUUUAAUCUCUUAAAGUGCUGCAAAGCUCACAUAGAGCUCAUCCCUCUGAGGUUUAGAGCUGCUCCCUGCUUCCUUGCUUUGCUCCCAGCAGCAUUUGGAGAGCUCUUCAGCAGAGGAGGCUUGGAAGGGACAGGCUGAACAAAUGACUUUUUAGGAAAGUCAUUCAUCAGCCAUCAGCAAUCCCCAUUGAUGGACUAUGAGGUGGGACAGGUUCACGCCGUGGCUGGGCUUUCCAAUGGAUGCUGGAUGCUGCACUGGGUUAUUGGUGCCAUGUGGAGCACCUGAGCAGCUCUGCUGCUCUUCACCCAGCGUGGUUCUGCUGCCUGCACUGCUCAAGGGCUUUCCCCCAUCAUUCUCCUGAAGCAUCUCCCUCCUCUUCCUCGGAGAAGGUGAUGGCCGGAGCAGCCACCUCCUGCUUGGCUCUUGCUUGGCACCAUGGGAACAGUUCAUGAUCCGAAAGGAUCUUUAGUUUACCUUUAACCACUCCUCAAUGCUGAGAAUAACCUAUGUCAGCAGUUAAGUCUUUUCCCCAUUUAAGUGUGUCUUCAGUGAUAAUCACAUUUAGUUACCUGUGCAACAAGUGCUGGUGGCUGGCUGCUCCCAAACCAGCUGCGUCCCUGCUGUAUCCCACCCAGUUUCACCUUUAUGGAUGGAAAGGAGCUGGAUAGAAAUACCUUUACAGGGUAUUUCCCACCAGAGCUGCUCCUCCUGGUAGGGCUGGGAGGACCAUGUUUGCUGAGUCCCAAAGCUCAGGUGGU
rnacentral:lncRNA from 14 species